rnacentral:snRNA from 1 species
GGAUAUGAAGGUGAUCUGGCUGGAGCAUCUAUCUGAUUGAUCACUAGGGUGAUUCAGUUGAUCUGGUAGGCUACAUAGGUGUGUCCUCCCACCCUCAAUGCUCUAUCCCUCCCAAUGCUGUGUGCUUGGUGGUAGAAGAUGACCAUCCAUUCCAGAUAGAAAGAAUGUAUCAUUCAUUGGUCAAGGAUAUACAAUAGCUGUGUUCCUUUGCCAGAACUUCCAAACAAGAUCAAGGUAUAUCCACAACCAUAUGAAGAGAAAGCAAACUGAUAAAGUUUCUCUCAGCCAUCAGAAUCUGCACAAGAU